UCCGUUUCUCACUUCCCACAUAAGUCUUGACCGCGGUCUCCGGCGGACCGCCCCCCCACUCACGUGGCUUUCACCGACGCCUGACUUUCUCCAGGAGAUCUGAAUUGGAAAAUGAAUACAUUUAGUAUACAGCUAUUACUUUGAGUCUGCUGCUUUAGAAGUUGCAAUUAAGUGAAAGAAAAGGUACAUUGAUGGUUCUGGAAUUGUUGUAUAUACAUAAUGAGAUGCCUGGAGCAUGGAACCCAAGUCUAAACAUGAAAUUCGUUUAUGUUUCCCGUAUAACUUACACACCUAGCUUGAAGGUAA